rnacentral:rRNA from 1 species
CUAAGCGUACACGGUGGAUGCCCUGGCAGUCAGAGGCGAUGAAGGGCGUGCUAAUCUGCGAUAAGCGCCGGUAAGGUGAUAUGAACCGUUAUAACCGGCGAUUUCCGAAUGGGGAAACCCAGUGUGAUUCGUCACACUAUCAUUAACUGAAUCCAUAGGUUAAUGAGGCGAACCGGGGGAACUGAAACAUCUAAGUACCCCGAGGAAAAGAAAUCAACCGAGAUUCCCCCAGUAGCGGCGAGCGAACGGGGAGGA